rnacentral:rRNA from 1 species
UGGGCGUUAAGUUGCAGGGUAUAGACCCGAAACCCGGUGAUCUAGCCAUGGGCAGGUUGAAGGUUGGGUAACACUAACUGGAGGACCGAACCGACUAAUGUUGAAAAAUUAGCGGAUGACCUGUGGCUGGGGGUGAAAGGCCAAUCAAACCGGGAGAUAGCUGGUUCUCCCCGAAAGCUAUUUAGGUAGCGCCUCGUGAAUUCAUCUCCGGGGGUAGAGCACUGUUUCGGCUAGGGGGCCAUCCCGGCUUACCAACCCGAUGCAAACUGCGAAUACCGGAGAAUGUUAUCACGGGAGACACACGGCGGGUGCUAACGUCCGUCGUGAAGAGGGAAACAACCCAGACCGCCAGCUAAGGUCCCAAAGUCAUGGUUAAGUGGGAAACGAUGUGGGAAGGCCCAGACAGCCAGGAUGUUGGCUUAGAAGCAGCCAUCAUUUAAAGAAAGCGUAAUAGCUCACUGGUCGAGUCGGCCUGCGCGGAAGAUGUAACGGGGCUAAACCAUGCACCGAAGCUGCGGCAGCGACGCUGAUGCGUUGUUGGGUAGGGGAGCGUUCUGUAAGCCUGUGAAGGUGGCCUGUGAGGGUUGCUGGAGGUAUCAGAAGUGCGAAUGCUGACAUAAGUAACGAUAAAGCGGGUGAAAAGCCCGCUCGCCGGAAGACCAAGGGUUCCUGUCCAACGUUAAUCGGGGCAGGGUGAGUCGACCCCUAAGGCGAGGCCGAAAGGCGUAGUCGAUGGGAAACGGGUUAAUAUUCCCGUACUUGGUGUUACUGCGAAGGGGGGACGGAGAAGGCUAUGUUGGCCGGGCGACGGUU